UCCCAGUGAGAAAACGUUUACACAUCUUACCUCCCGUCCUAGUCCCAGAGCCUGUAAAGGUGAGAAGGAACUGUUUGAGGAAUCAUAAGGAUUUCUAAACAUGGGAA